CUACGGGAUGCAGCAGUGGGGAAUAUUGGACAAUGGGGGCAACCCUGAUCCAGCCAUGCCGCGUGUGUGAAGAAGGCCUUUUGGUUGUAAAGCACUUUAAGCAGGGAGGAGAGGCUAAUGGUUAAUACCCAUUAGAUUAGACGUUACCUGUAGAAUAAGCACCGGCUAACUCUGUGCCAGCAGCCGCGGUAAUACAGAGGGUGCGAGCGUUAAUCGGAAUUACUGGGCGUAAAGCGAGUGUAGGUGGCUCAUUAAGUCACAUGUGAAAUCCCCGGGCUUAACCUGGGAACUGCAUGUGAUACUGGUGGUGCUAGAAUAUGUGAGAGGGAAGUAGAAUUCCAGGUGUAGCGGUGAGAUGCGUAGAGAUCUGGAGGAAUACCGAUGGCGAAGGCAGCUUCCUGGCAUAAUAUUGUCACUGAGAUUCGAAAGCGUGGGUAGCAAACAGGAUUAGAUACCCGUGUAGUC
rnacentral:rRNA from 1 species